rnacentral:rRNA from 1 species
UACGUAGGGUGCAAGCGUUAAUCGGAAUCACUGGGCGUAAAGCGUGCGUAGGCGGUUUCUUAAGUCUGCUGUGAAAGCCCCGGGCUCAACCUGGGAAUGGCGGUGGAUACUGAGAAGCUGGAGUACGGUAGAGGAAGGUGGAAUUCCCGGUGUAGCGGUGAAAUGCGUAGAGAUCGGGAGGAACACCAGUGGCGAAGGCGACUACCUGGCCUGUUUCUUGACGCUGAGGCGCGAAAGCUAGGGGAGCAAACGGG